UACGGAGGAUGCAAGCGUUAUCCGGAAUGAUUGGGCGUAAAGCGUCCGCAGGUGGCAAUGUAAGUCUGCUGUCAAAGCGUCUGGCUCAACCAGGUAAAGGCAGUGGAAACUACAUAGCUAGAGUAAGGUAGGGGUAGAGGGAAUUCCUGGUGUAGCGGUGAAAUGCGUAGAGAUCAGGAAGAACACCGGUGGCGAAAGCGCUCUGCUGGACCUUAACUGACACUGAGGGACGAAAGCUAGGGGAGCGAAUGGG
rnacentral:rRNA from 1 species